CAGCCGCCGCGGUAAUACGAAGGGUGCAAGCGUUAAUCGGAAUUACUGGGCGUAAAGCGUGCGUAGGCGGUUUGUUAAGUCUGUUGUGAAAUCCCCGGGCUCAACCUGGGAAUGGCAAUGGAUACUGGCAAGCUAGAGUGUGUCAGAGGAUGGUGGGAUUCCCGGUGUAGCGGUGAAGUGCGUAGAGAUCGGGAGGAACAUCAGUGGCGAAGGCGGCCAUCUGGGACAACACUGACGCUGAGGCACGAAAGCGUGGGGAGCAAACAGGAUUAGAUACCCCGGUAGUCCCUGUCUCUUAUAC
rnacentral:rRNA from 1 species